rnacentral:rRNA from 1 species
UACGUAGGGGGCAAGCGUUGUCCGGAAUCAUUGGGCGUAAAGCGCGUGUAGGCGGUUCGGUAAGUCCGCUGUGAAAGUCGGGGGCUCAACCCUCGGAAGCCGGUGGAUACUGUCGAGCUAGAUGUACGGGAAGAGGCGAAGUGGAAUUCCUGGUGUAGCGGUGAAUGCGCAGAUAUCAGGAGGAACACCAAUGCGAAGGCAGCUCGCUGGGACGUUACUGACGCUGAGACGCGAAGCGUGGGGAGCAAACAGG